GACCGCAGUUUGCUUUAUAUCUGUCUAGUUGUUAAUUUGCAGUGUCAUUUUACAGUAAACCGAUAAAGGUGAAAUGAAGUGCCGGCGAGAGCACAGGUGCCUGGCACAGGGUCCGGCACACUGUUCAACGAAUAAAGCGUCUGUCUUGGCCAGUGUGGAAGACAGAAUAAACACAUUGGACAAUUGCUCUUUCCAUGGGAAAGAACCUAAGCUCCUCUUCUAUGCCUGAAAAACUACCAUUUCACUGCACGUCCAAUGACGUCAACUCCAAAGCCAGGAUGGCACGUAAUGAGCAACUUCAGUCACACUGUUGGUAGUCCUGCUCGGUUCCUGGCCUUCACACUUGUCCAAAUGUCUUCUCACACCAAGUGCUUCUAUGUGCACAAGUCCAUGGAAUCCA